rnacentral:lncRNA from 11 species
AGGAAGGUGACCACAGAGUUGUGGAGGAAGACAUCGAUUCCUAGAGAGAACAUUUCCCUUGGCAUUUUUAGAUCCUCCAGUGCAAUUCUAUAGUCAACAUUUGGAGAGCUGUUCUGUCGGCUACCACAUGGAUUGUGGUUUCUGGGCCCAUCAUGUCUAGCUCCGAAGAACUGAAUGGGACACAGAUGUGUUGAAAGCAAUGAUCAGAGGUUUUAUUCUCAAUUGCCAAAGAGGGU